rnacentral:rRNA from 1 species
UGGGGAAUAUUGGACAAUGGGCGCAAGCCUGGUCCAGCCAUGCCGCGUGAGUGAUGAAGGCCCUAGGGUUGUAAAGCUCUUUUAACGGGGAAGAUAAUGACGGUACCCGUAGAAUAAGCCCCGGCUAACUUCGUGCCAGCAGCCGCGGUAAUACGAAGGGGGCUAGCGUUGCUCGGAAUCACUGGGCGUAAAGGGUGCGUAGGUGGAUCUUUAAGUCAGGGGUGAAAUCCUGGAGCUCAACUCCAGAACUGCCUUUGAUACUGAGGAUCUUGAGUUCGGGAGAGGUAAGUGGAACUGCGAGUGUAGAGGUGAAAUUCGUAGAUAUUCGCAAGAACACCAGUGGCGAAGGCGGCUUACUGGCCCGAUACUGACACUGAGGCACGAAAGCGUGGGGAGCAAACA